AAUUGUCCAUAUUCCAUAUGCCAAUGAGAAAUGAGUUGCCCCGGUAGAGUUUUUUUCUCUCUUGUUUUUUUCUUUUGUUUUUUUUGUUUGGUUUUUUUAUUUUUUGUUCUUUUUUUGCCUCCACUGAACUGUUCAUUUUGGGGGCAACAUGGUGUUAAUCCUGAACAGACUACAAACUUCUGAUGUCGUGCUGUUGCUCAAAUUCAAUAUAUGGCCUAAUAUGAGCCUUUUGCCAUUCCAUACUGACAUAUGAUUUAUUUUUCAGGAAUUUGCUGACCGUCGAAUUAGCAUAUGAAGCAGCUUCUGCCCACUUAGUGAUAGUCGAUGACCAUAAAGAUGAAUUGAUGAUCGCCAGAAGCUUUUGGCGAGGUC
rnacentral:lncRNA from 1 species